rfam:Peptoniphilus lacrimalis DNF00528 contig021, whole genome shotgun sequence.
AAAAAAGCAAUUAUAGAGAGAAAAGAGAUUGUACGGAAAAAUCAGAGAAUUGCCGGUUGGUGAAAGGCAUUUUUUUCAAAUCUUAAUACACUCUGUAGCUUAUUUGUUGAAUUUAGUAGGCAAAUACGGAAGCCACCGUUAACUGAGGCUAGAGGUUGUUGGACCUUAAAUGAGAGGUAAUUAUUAUUACAAAUCGGGUGGUACCGCGAAGUCAAGUCUUUCGUCCCUUUA